UACGUAGGGUGCGAGCGUUGUCCGGAAUUAUUGGGCGUAAAGGGCUCGUAGGCGGUUUGUCGCGUCGGGAGUGAAAUCCACUGGCUUAACUGGUGGCUUGCUUUCGAUACGGGCAGACUGGAGGUAUGCAGGGGAGAACGGAAUUCCUGGUGUAGCGGUGAAAUGCGCAGAUAUCAGGAGGAACACCGGUGGCGAAGGCGCUGCUCUGGGCCGGUACUGACGCCGAGGAGCGAAAGCGUGGGUAGCAAACAGG
rnacentral:rRNA from 1 species